rnacentral:rRNA from 1 species
UACGUAGGGUGCGAGCGUUUGUCCGGAAUUAUUGGGCGUAAAGGGCUCGUAGGCGGUUUGUCGCGUCGGGAGUGAAAUCACUGGGCUUAACCGAGUGCUUGCUUUCGAUACGGGCAGACUUGAGGCAUUCAGGGGAGAACGGAAUUCCUGGUGUAGCGGUGAAAUGCGCAGAUAUCAGGAGGAACACCGGUGGCGAAGGCGGUUCUCUGGGAAUGUUCUGACGCUGAGGAGCGAAAGUGUGGGGAGCGAACAGG